CAAGAACAACAACAAGAACAAGAACAAGAACAAGAACAAGAACAAGAACAAGAACAANNNNNNNNNNAACAAGAACAAGAACAAGAACAAGAACAAGAACAAGAACAAGAACAACAACUACAACAACUACAACUACAACAACUACAACAACUACAACAACAACAACAACAACUACAACAACAACCACUUGGUCACAUGCACUCUUACCCAAAUGGAACUAACAUUGACAGCAAAAAAAAUAAACCAAGUACAAACACAUUUUAUAAUAUUAUAAACUUAACAAAUAUGGAAUAUAACAAUAUACAAACAACUAUGGAAUGUUCUUAUUUGUUAAAAUAUAAUAUUUUAUUAUUAACUUUGGUCAUACAAAAAAUGAAAUAUAUUACUAAUCGUUCCAUAUUCAUUGAAGAAUUAUAUAUAUUAGAAAGUCUUAAUAUAUUAAUACAUAUAUAUUAUAAAAAUAUUAUGAACAUGAAUAAAUUAAUAAACGAAAAAUCCUUUUAUUUAAAAGAAAUCUCAACAUUUUAUAAUGAUAUGUCAUCAGCAUUAAAAAAAAACACACCAACAAAUAUACCGGACAAAAAUGAAGAUUUAUACUUUUUAUUUUUCAUUAAAUACAUUUUUUAUAAUUUAAAAAAUGCGAAAUGGGAUUUUAAAUAUUUAAAAAAAAAUAUUAAUAAAUCUGCUUUAGAAAAAACAUUUUUUAUAGUUUUAUCUUUACUUAGUAAUAUAAGAUAUGUAUUAACACAAAGUAUGAAUUAUAAGAAUAUAAACACUUUUCAUUCAGUUUGUAUGGAAUUAAAUAGUAAGGGUGUUGCUAAUGUUGCUGGUGUUGCCAGAACUACUGGAAUUACUGACACCAUCGACACUACUGCUAUGAAUAUAACUAGUAAAAGCCAAACAGAACUAACAAAAAAAAAAAUUAUUAAAAAUAUAACUAACAACAUAAAUAUAAUAAACAAUGAAAUAGUUUUAACACUUACAAAUUAUAUGAACUUAUUUAAUCCAAAUGAAACUAUUUUUGGCUAUGAUAGAAAUUUAACUACUUAUAUAUCUUUUUUAUAUAAUGAUAUAUAUUUCCAAAAUAAUUAUAAAAUAAAAAAAUUUGUUUUUUCUUUUUUUUUAAAUAACUAUAAAAAAUUAAAUUCGAAUUUAGAAACCAAUAAAAAUAAUAUGUACAUGCAAUAUAUAACAAUUUAUAAUUUUUUAAAACAGUUCCAAAAUAAUAUUAACAAACCAUCAGAACAAUAUUAUACAAUUUUAAAGUUUUUCAUGGAAUGUUUUGAUAAUAAUGUGUACCAACAAUUGAAGGGUAGUAGUUCACAACAUAACAGUUUAAGUACAAACAUAAGCAAUAUCAACAGUAGUAUAAGCGAUAUCAACAGUAGUACAAACAGUGACAACAGUAGUACAAACAGUGACAACAGUAGUAUAAACAGUGACAACAGUAGUAUAAACUGUGACAAUGGGACAAGUAAAAAUAACAUCGUUGAUGAAAUAAAUGAUAUAAAAUAUUACUUACACCUUUUAAACAAAUUGUGCUAUUUUUACUUUUUAUUAAAAAAAUUUAUUACGAAUUCAGAAUUUGUACUUUAUAUAAAUCAUCAUUUUUAUAUGACCUUUUAUCUAAUUUAUCAAUUUGUUGAAAAAAAUAUGAACAAGUCACAAAUUUUUACAACUUUUGUUAACCAAUGCAUAAUUAAAAUCAUAAGUAUAUUAACUGUUCAUAAAUAUUUUAAAAUUUCUGCAACAGAUGAUCAAAUUAAAUGUUUGUCUAAAUUUUUAUUAUUAACACAUACAAUUAUUAACAACGAAAAUAAAAAAAAAAUUGCUUUUUACAUUAUUCCUUUUGUCAAAUUGCCAGACAAUGUUAUUCAAAAGUUUAUACCAGUUGCACUUACCAACCAAACAAUGCUGGACAUAAAGAAAAAAAAUGAAACAAAUGGAGAAGAGACAGAAGAGACAGAAGAAAAUGGAGAAGAGACAGAAGAAAAUGGAGAAAAGACAGAAGAAAAUGGAAAAGAGGCUGAAAAAAAAGAAGAAGAAAAAGAAAAAAUAGAAGAAGAACAAAAACAAAAAAAACAACAACAUAAAAAUGAUAACUGUGAGUAUAACAAUCCCAAAACAUAUGAUGACCCAAACAUACAACAAGUUAAAAAUAAUGUUAACGGAAAUAAACAAAUUAAUUCAAACAAAAAAACUUGUAAUUUUUCUAUUCACUAUAAUGAUCAUAACAAUAUAAAUACCAAAACAAAUAUUAUGAUCAUCGAACAUAAUAUGACACAACUCAUACAUAUUUUACAAAAAGAAAAAAAUUACAAAAUUAAUAAUAACGAAUUAUGUGAUAUGUUAAUUGAUUACAUGAAUCAUAAUAUUUUAAUUAAAAAAGAAAAUAUAAUAUUAAAAAAAAAUUAAAUUAUAUUGAACUUAAUUUAGAUAAAUUUAUUUCUUCUUAUAUUACCAGUUUAAUAUCUACGAACACAUUAUGUGUGUCCACUAAACAAGGUGUAAAUUUAAGUAAUAUACAAAAUUCCAUUUUAAAAGAAAAAUUAUAUGAACAAAUUAACUGUAUGGAAAAAAAAGGAAAAGAUGAAAAAACAGAACACACUAUUGUGAUUGUACCAAAUGAAAAUAACGAUAAAAAUGUUUCGAACAUAGUUCAAGGAGAUAAAGGCAUAACAACUAUGAUAAAAAAAAUUAGGCAAAACCAUAACAUAAGCUUACAAUUUGACUAUAACCAUUUAAACAUUAAUAAUGAGUAUUUCAAUGAAUUAAAAAAAUUUGAAAAACAAAAUUAUAUCAAAAUAAAUAACACACUUAUAAACA
rnacentral:lncRNA from 1 species